rnacentral:rRNA from 1 species
AGCGAACGCUGGCGGCAUGCCUAACACAUGCAAGUCGCACGGGGGGGCUUCGGCCUCCCAGUGGCGGACGGGUGAGGAACGCGUAGGGACCUGUCGAGGGGUGGGGGAUAACCGCGGGAAACUGCGGCUAAUACCGCAUGACGCCGCGGCGUGACAGCCGGGGCCAAAGGCGAAAGCCGCCCGCCGAGGGGCCUGCGUCCGAUUAGCUGGUUGGCGGGGUAGCGGCCCACCAAGGCGUCGAUCGGUAGCUGGUCUGAGAGGGUGAUCAGCCACACCGGGACUGAGACACGGCCCGGUCUCCUACGGGAGGCAGCAGUGGGGAAUAUUGGACAAUGGGCGCAAGCCUGAUCCAGCAAUGCCGCGUGGGUGAAGAAGGUCUUCGGAUUGUAAAGCCCUUUCGGCGGGGACGAUGGUGACGGUACCCGCAGAAGAAGCCCCGGCUAAUUUCGUG